AAAUUGUAAAAGUAAAGCCAUUGAAAGGUGGUAACACAAAGUCGUGAGUCUAAGUCAUUUUAUGAUAGGAUAGCUGGGUUGCCUAU
rnacentral:ncRNA from 1 species